rnacentral:rRNA from 1 species
CCUACGGGGGGCAGCAGUGAGGAAUAUUGGUCAAUGGCCGGAAGGCUGAACCAGCCAUGCCGCGUGAAGGUCAGUGCCCUAUGGGCGUUAAACUUCUUUUGUGCGGGAGCAAUAAUGGUCACGUGUGGCCAGACGAGAGUACCGUACGAAUAAGCAUCGGCUAACUCCGUGUCAGCAGCCGCGGUAAUACGGGGGAUGCAAGCGUUAUCCGUAUUUAUUGGGUUUAAAGGGUGCGUAGGCUGUGAGGUAAGUCAGCGGAGAAAUGCCCCCGCUCAACGGGGUGAAGUGCCAUGGAUACUGCCUUGCUGGAAUGCGGAUGCGGUGGGAGGAAUGUGUGGUGUAGCGGUGAAAUGCAUAGAUAUCACACAGAACACCGAUUGCGAAGGCAGCUCACGAAUCCGCGAUUGACGCUGAUGCACGAAAGCGUGGGUAUCAAACAGGAUUAGAUACCCCGGUAGUC